rnacentral:rRNA from 1 species
UACGGAGGGUGCAAGCGUUAUCCGGAUUCACUGGGUUUAAAGGGUGCGUAGGUGGGUCUGUAAGUCAGUGGUGAAAUCUCCGGGCUUAACCCGGAAACUGCCAUUGAUACUAUCAGUCUUGAAUCUUGUUGAGGUAGGCGGAAUAUAUCAUGUAGCGGUGAAAUGCUAGAUAUGAUAUAGAACACCGAUUGCGAAGGCAGCUUACUAAACAAGCAUUGACGCUGAGGCACGAAAGCGUCGGGAUCAAACAGG